UACACAAUGAAUAUAAAGUUAAUAAUAAUUAAGAUUAUUAUUAAUUUGGAUUCCGUUGGACUUUUUCGAGGAUAAGCUCGAAAAUUGUUGUUGAGAACUAUAUAAUUUAAAAUUAUUGUGUGGGCCUAAAAUUAGCCAUUACAAGAGUUUGUUAUAAAACAAUAAGAAAACAUAAGAAUAUUAUUAUAUAUGAUACCACAUAAAACUAUAAGAAUAAUAAUCUGAACUAAAAGAUUAAUAUACCUAUGCUAGGAUGAGUAUUAUAAUUACAUAAACCGAAAAAGUAAAGUCUUUCCAAGAAAAGCAUUUUUUACAUGAAUUAAAGAGAAGGAAUUCGGCAAAUGUUGUUUCGCCUGUUUAUCAAAAACAUGGCUCUUUGAAAAAAGCAUAUAGAGAGUCGAACCUGCCCAGUGAAUAAUUUUUUAACGGCCGCGGUACCCUGACCGUGCAAAGGUAGCAUAAUCAUUUGCCUUAUAAUUGAAGGCUGGCAUGAAUGGUCUGACGAGAGCAACACUGUCUCCUCUUUAUUAUUUAGAAAUUAACUUAUGGGUGAAGAGGCCUAUAUUAAAUUGAAGGACAAGAAGACCCUGUCGAGCUUAAAAGAAAAGUAGAAGCUAGUUAUCAUAAAGAAAUCAAUAAACUACGUACAGCUUUUUAGUUGGGGCGACUAAGGAACAAGUAAAGCUUCUUUUUACUUCUUCAAAUCUAUAAAUUUAGAUCCAGCAAAGCUGAUCAAAGGAAUUAGUUACCGCAGGGAUAACAGCAUAAUCUCCUUUGAGAGACCUAAUCGAAAGGGGGGGUUGUGACCUCGAUGUUGGACUAGAAUAUCCUGAAGAUGCAGACGUCU
rnacentral:rRNA from 1 species